GAUGAACGCUGGCGGCGUGCCUAAUACAUGCAAGUCGAACGAAACUUCUUUAUCACCGAGUGCUUGCACUCACCGAUAAAGAGUUGAGUGGCGAACGGGUGAGUAACACGUGGGCAACCUGCCCAAAAGAGGGGGAUAACACUUGGAAACAGGUGCUAAUACCGCAUAACCAUAGUUACCGCAUGGUAACUAUGUAAAAGGUGGCUAUACUACCGCUUUUGGAUGGGCCCGCGGCGCAUUAGCUAGUUGGUAGGGUAAAGGCUUACCAAGGCAAUGAUGCGUAGCCGAAUUGAGAGGUUGGUCGGCCACAUUGGGACUGAGACACGGCCCAGACUCCUACGGGAGGCAGCAGUAGGGAAUCUUCCGCAAUGGGCGAAAGCCUGAUGGAGCAACGCCGCGUGGGUGAAGAAGGUCUUCGGAUCGUAAAACCCUGUUGUUAGAGAAGAAAGUGCGUGAGAGUAACUGUUCACGUUUCGACGGUAUCUAACCAGAAAGCCACGGCUAACUACGUG
rnacentral:rRNA from 1 species